rnacentral:rRNA from 1 species
CCUACGGGAGGCAGCAGUGAGGAAUAUUGGUCAAUUUUCUUUAUCCUUAACCAUCCCCUUCUCUUUCUUGAAGACGGUCCUAUGGAUUGUAAACCUCUUUAGGCGGGGAGCAAUGCCGGGCACGCGUGCCCGGAGGGAGAGUACCCGCAGAAUAAGCAUCGGCUAACUCCGUGCCAGCAGCCGCGGUAAUACGGAGGAUGCGAGCGUUAUCCGGAUUUAUUGGGUUUAAAGGGAGCGUCGGCCGCAUGUCAAGCGUGCUGUGAAAUGCCCGGGCUCAACCCGGGCCUUGCAGCGCGAACUGGCGUGCUUGAGUCCGCGGAAAGCAGGCGGAAUUCGUCGUGUAGCGGUGAAAUGCUUAGAUAUGACGAAGAACCCCGAUUGCGAAGGCAGCUUGCUGCAGCGGAACUGACGCUGAUGCUCGAAAGCGCGGGUAUCGAACAGGAUUAGAUACCCUAGUAGUC